rnacentral:rRNA from 1 species
GAGACCAAAGGAUUAAGUUAUAUUUGUGCUGGUUAAAAGGUAGUUAGGUUAAUAGAUUAUGUAGUUACUAUAGUUUUUAUAUGGCGGUAAAAUGCAUAUAAGGUGGAUUUAUAUCGGUAGUUUAGGAUUAUGCUGAGGUUACUAGAAUUUUGGUAGAAACUAGGAUUAGAUACCCUAUUAUUCUUUAUUUUAAAUAGUAUAUUACCUGAGUAGUACAGACAAGUAGUUUAAAAUUCAAAGGACUUGGCGGUGUUUAUAGACUUUUUAGGGGAAUCUGUCUCGUAAUCGAUGUUCCGCGUUAUACCUAAUUUCUUAUUGUAGUACAGUUUGUAUACCAUUGUCGGCAGGCAACUUUUGAGAAUUAAGAAGCUGGCUUAGUAAAAUUUUUUUAGUAUGUCAGAUCAAGGUGCAGCUGAUUGAGAAGUGAGGAUGGAUUACAAUUAUUAAUUUAUAAUUACGGAUUCUAAUUUAAUGAAAUUUAUAGUUGAAGGAGGACUUAAAAGUAAAGUGUUGGGUUGUAUAGUUGAUUUAUAUAGGCAUGUUGAAUUUAGCUCUUAAAUGUGC